rnacentral:lncRNA from 1 species
UUUCUUUUUGGAUAUUCAAUGUUCCUCACAAAAAUAAAAGAUUCUCUCUUUAAAUUCCUUAAUCUUGCUUCCUAAAUGAUUCUCUAGCUUUUUAUAAUCUUAAAAGUGGCUAGAGAAUAUGUUUUGACCGUUGGAGUCCUUGAAAUAGCUAUUAAGAACAAAAACUAGCCGUUGGAGAAGUAUAGAAAACUAGCCAUUGUAGUGCAGUCCUAGGCCACGAGUCCAUUUGAUUUUUAUUUGGAGUUACUUGAUUUUCGAACCGACUCAAUUUUUGCGUCGACUCGAUUUUUAUUUUCAAUCAACUCGAUCUUAGAUAUGCAAAAUUCAACUUUCUAUUUUUCUGAAAGAGAGUCGACUUCUACUAUUCAUAAGUCGAUCGAGCUCUGUGCCACAUGAUACCAACGUGGCAGAAUUGACUCAAAAUCUCUCGGAGUCAACUCAAAACCUUCCAACUAUACUCUUUUUAUAUUUUUGCCUCUUAAAAUUGAAUUUCUCAAUCUUAGUGCUUUCAAAUGAUAUUUUAUUCUUUCAAAUUCAUUUUUUUCAUAAUGAGCUAUCCAAACUUGUGAGAAUUUAUUCUUUUAAGUCCUUUAGUUUGGCAUCUUGAGAGGAUUUCUUUCAAGAAUAAUUUCUUCACUGUGAGCAUAAAAAAAAUCUUAUAUUCAUUCUUGAAACACAUGAUUAAUAAUCUUUAUGCUCAAAAUUUUGUGAUCAUCAAGAUCAAUCAUAGAGUCAACAA